rnacentral:rRNA from 1 species
UUAAAUUGAAGAGUUUGAUCAUGGCUCAGAUUGAACGCUGGCGGCAGGCCUAACACAUGCAAGUCGAGCGGUAGAGAGAAGCUUGCUUCUCUUGAGAGCGGCGGACGGGUGAGUAAUGCCUAGGAAUCUGCCUGAUGGAGGGGGAUAACGUUCGGAAACGGACGCUAAUACCGCAUACGUCCUACGGGAGAAAGCGGGGGACCUUCGGGCCUCGCGCCAUUAGAU